GUGAGGAUAUUGGUCAAUGGGCGCUAGCCUGACCAGCCUGCCGCGUGCAGGAAGACGGCCCUACGGGUUGUAAACUGCUUUUCUGCGGGAAGAAUCUCCCGGAUUCGCUUCGGGAUUGACGGUACCGCAGGAAUAAGCAUCGGCUAACUCCGUGCCAGCAGCCGCGGUAAUACGGAGGAUGCAAGCGUUAUCCGGAUUCAUUGGGUUUAAAGGGUGCGCAGGCGGUGGAGCAAGUCAGUGGUGAAAGCCCGAAGCUCAACUUCGGGAUUGCCAUUGAAACUGUUUCACUUGAGUAUAGUCGAGGACGGCGGAAUGAGUUGUGUAGCGGUGAAAUGCAUAGAUAUAACUCAGAACACCGAUUGCGAAGGCAGCUGUCUAGACUAAAACUGACGCUGAGGCACGAAAGCGUGGGGAGCGAACAGGAUUAGAUACCCUGGUAGUCCACGCAGUAAACGAUGAUCACUCGUUGUUGGCUACUUGGUAGUCAGUGACUAAGGGAAACCGUUAAGUGAUCCACCUGGGGAGUACGUCGGCAACGAUGAAACUCAAAGGAAUUGACGGGGGCCCGCACAAGCGGAGGAACAUGUGGUUUAAUUCGAUGAUACGCGAGGAACCUUACCCUGGGCUUAAAUGCAGGCUGCAUUUGGGUGGAAACACCCAUUUNCUACGGGGACCGCCUGCAAGGUGCUGCAUNGGUUUGUCGUCAGCUCGUGNCCGNGANGGGUCGGGGUUAAGUCCCAUAACGAGCGC
rnacentral:rRNA from 1 species